rnacentral:rRNA from 1 species
CACAGGUGCUGCAUGGCUGUCGUCAGCUCGUGUCGUGAGAUGUUGGGUUAAGUCCCGCAACGAGCGCAACCCUUAUCCCCAGUUGCCAUCAGGUAAAGCUGGGAACUCUGGGGGAGACUGCCGGUGAUAAACCGGAGGAAGGCGGGGAUGACGUCAAGUCCUCAUGGCCCUUACAUCCCGGGCUACACACGUGCUACAAUGGCAGGUACAGAGGGCUGCGAAGCCGCGAGGUGGAGCGAAUCCCAGAAAACCUGUCUCAGUCCGGAUUGAAGUCUGCAACUCGACUUCAUGAAGGCGGAAUCGCUAGUAAUCGCGGAUCAGCAUGCCGCGGUGAAUACGUUCUCGGGGUUU